AGAAGUGAGAAUGCCGGUGUGAGUAGCGAAAGACGGGUGAGAAUCCCGUCCACCGAUUGACUAAGGUUUCCAGAGGAAGGCUCGUCCGCUCUGGGUUAGUCGGGUCCUAAGCUGAGGCCGACAGGCGUAGGCGAUGGAUAACAGGUUGAUAUUCCUGUACCACCAUUAUUCGUUUUAAGCGAUGGGGGGACGCAGUAGGAUAGGCGAAGCGUGCUGUUGGAGUGCACGUCCAAGCAGUGAGAUUGAGUGUUAGGCAAAUCCGGCACUCUUAAGAUUGAGCUGUGAUGGGGAGAGGAACUUGUUCCUCGAGUCGUUGAUUUCACACUGCCGAGAAAAGCCUCUAGCUAGAAUAACGGUGCCCGUACCGCAAACCGACACAGGUAGUCAAGAUGAGAAUUCUAAGGUGAGCGAGCGAACUCUCGUUAAGGAACUCGGCAAAAUGACCCCGUAACUUCGGGAGAAGGGGUGCUCUUUGAGGUUCACGCUUCGAAGAGCCGCAGUGAAUAGGCCCAAGCGACUGUUUAUCAAAAACACAGGUCUCUGCUAAACCGUAAGGUGACGUAUAGGGGCUGACGCCUGCCCGGUGCUGGAAGGUUAAGAGGAGUGGUUAGCGCAAGCGAAGCUACGAAUCGAAGCCCCAGUAAACGGCGGCCGUAACUAUAACGGUCCUAAGGUAGCGAAAUUCCUUGUCGGGUAAGUUCCGACCCGCACGAAAGGCGUAACGAUUUGGGCACUGUCUCAACGAGAGACUCGGUGAAAUCAUAGUACCGGUGAAGAUGCCGGUUACCCGCGACAGGACGGAAAGACCCCGUGGAGCUUUACUGUAGCCUGAUAUUGAAAUUCGGUACAGUUUGUACAGGAUAGGUAGGAGCCUUAGAAGCGUGAGCGCUAGCUUACGUGGAGGCAUUGGUGGGAUACUACCCUAAUUGUAUUGGAUUUCUAACCCGCAGCACUUAUCGUGCUGGGAGACAGUGUCAGGCGGGCAGUUUGACUGGGGCGGUCGCCUCCUAAAGAGUAACGGAGGCGCUCAAAGGUUCCCUCAGAAUGGUUGGAAAUCAUUCAUAGAGUGUAAAGGCAUAAGGGAGCUUGACUGCGAGACCUACAAGUCGAGCAGGGUCGAAAGACGGACUUAGUGAUCCGGUGGUUCCGCAUGGAAGGGCCAUCGCUCAACGGAUAAAAGCUACCCCGGGGAUAACAGGCUUAUCUCCCCCAAGAGUUCACAUCGACGGGGAGGUUUGGCACCUCGAUGUCGGCUCAUCGCAUCCUGGGGCUGUAGUCGGUCCCAAGGGUUGGGCUGUUCGCCCAUUAAAGCGGUACGCGAGCUGGGUUCAGAACGUCGUGAGACAGUUCGGUCCCUAUCCGUCGUGGGCGUAGGAAAUUUGAGAGGAGCUGUCCUUAGUACGAGAGGACC
rnacentral:rRNA from 1 species